AGUUGAGAACUAGCAGUGAAGGGGAAAUGAUCUUGGUGGUCUUAAUAAGACAAGAAUUGACAAGACAGUGAGGAGGAUGAAAAAAAUUUGAAAAGAGCUGGGAGCAGAAGGAAGUGGAAUGACAAUCUUUGGUGUUUGAGACACGACCAAAAAGGAGAAAAUGAGAAGCCAAACAUCAGCUACUUGCAGAUUUGUAGCAGUAUUUGAGAGUGCCAAGAUAUAAGCUCAUGGAUGAUGUGGUCCUGCAGAAGCUGAGCAAUAACCUGGAAGCGGUGAUCCAGAAAGCUGAGAAGGACAAAGUGGGUGUUGAAGCACUGCUAGGAGGAGAUGAGUGAACUCAGACGCGAAACGAACAGACCAUUUGAGGUGCCAGGAAAAGCGGCUGGACAUUCACAAAUUGCUUUCAAAGCAAUUAGAAGGAGUCUACUCAGCUCCCAAUCUCAUCUCAGAGCGUCUCAGAGAGAGGGCCUCUCUUAGGCACCUUCCAAGAGGAAGGGGGAGCCAAGAAAGAAGAGAUUUUGAAGUGAAUUUCACACUUGACUGCUUGGGCAGUGCCUGGGGCAGGAGCCACAGGCCAAAUAGUCAUGGAAAACUCCAAAGAAAUUACAUCACCUUUGGGUCAGGAACAGAAAAGAAAUACAGGUUACCUGUUCUUUGAGGAGGCUGAUUUUUUUAAGCCCCUCAAAUAAAAAAAAAAAAUACUCAUGUCUUGCUACCCUGCUCGACUUGCUCCCACUGAAAUCAACACUUUCCCUUACUAGAGACUUUAAACUUUGAAAUGGCAUAUUAAAAGAAGGAUUUUCUCUUUAUUUUUCCAUUUUGGGGGAAUUCAUUGGGUAGAGGAGAGGUGGUAAACAGUU